rnacentral:lncRNA from 1 species
AUCAUCCCCAAGGGUUUGGCGCCGGGCCGAGGUCGUCGUUGGCGCGCAGCGACGCAACGGUCUCAUCGACGAGGCGCGGCUCGCGAGCGGCAACAAAGCGCACCACCGAGAGGAGGCCGCGGGCCAGCGCCUCUGUCACCACCAACCGCACCGUGGUAUCGACGCGCUUGUCGACAUCGCACUGGGCAACGUCGGGCCUGGAGCGCCGGUCCAACAGGACACGCAUGACGUCCCUGUUGCCGAGCCAGACCUCUGACAGCGGCACCGCCGUGGUGUGUCCAUACAGCGUCCACGCGUGCACAAGACCGUUGGUGUCGAUCGGACAAUCGAGGAUCUUGUCCACGGCGGGCGCGUGUCGGGCCUUUGCCGCCGAGUCGAGCGCGACGGCCCACACAGCGCCCGCCAGCGCCUCGCCACCCCACGCGCCGGACGUGAUCGCGGACAAUUCUGUGCUGAGCGAUGCCAUGUCAGACUUGACGGCGUCGAUUAGAUCGAGCCGGCCGGCGCUCGCCGCGCGCUGCGCCAGCGGGGUCAACAGAGGAAAUCGCUCAAAGGCCGCACGCGACCGAAACUGGUCAUAAAGCCAGCGCGCAUCGUCUGCAUCGAUGUUGCGGAUGAGCGUCGCUGUGUCGGUUGCCGGGUGUGCGUGCAAGACGCGCACGAGGCGCGAUUCAUCGACGAGGCGCCUCAGCAAGGCAAAGGUGUGCCCAUCACGCACGUACCACAGCAUCGCGUCCAACUUGUCGUCUCCGAUACUGCGCACUGCGUCCUCGUUCGUGACGGUGAACGUCGCAUCGGGAUCGGCGCCAUGUGGGUGCGUCGGCACACAAGAUUCCCAUCCGUGCCGAGGCGGGUCGACGCGCACGCCCGCGGCGACACAUAGGGCGUCAAAGAUGUCUGCCACCCGCUCGACCGAGACGCCACAGCCGAGGGUCCUGAUGCAUGCCGUCUUGAGGCACACCGGGUCCCAUUUGGCGGGCCGGUUUGUCGGCCGGCAGAGCCACACGAGGGUGUCGUCGGGCGCGCCGGUGCCGGCGGCGUCGAUCAGAGCGUACACGAGGUCGGUCCAUGUCUCGGGGGUCACGGGCCACAAGGAGCCGCCGGCGCGUGCCAGGCGCCGCACAACCGCACCGUGCCCGUGUGCGGCCGCCGCCCGCAGCGCCACGUCAAAGCGCCGGCCC